AUUAAACGCUGGCGGCAUGCCUUACACAUGCAAGUCGAACGGCAGCACUGGGGCAACCCUGGUGGCGAGUGGCGAACGGGUGAGUAAAGCAUCGGAACGUGCCCUGGAGUGGGGGAUAACGAAUCGAAAGGUUCGCUAAUACCGCAUACGUCCUACGGGAGAAAGAGGGGGAUCUUCGGACCUCUUGCUAAUAGAUGAGCCUAGGUCGGAUUAGCUAGUUGGUGGGGUAAAGGCUCACCAAGGCGACGAUCUGUAGCUGGUCUGAGAGGAUGGCCAGCCACACUGGAACUGAGACACGGUCCAGACUCCUACGGGAGGCAGCAGUGGGGAAUAUUGGACAAUGGGCGCAAGCCUGAUCCAGCCAUGCCGCGUGUGUGAAGAAGGCCCUCGGGUUGUAAAGCACUUUAAGCGAGGAGGAAGGUCAUCAUACUAAUAUUAUGGAUGAUUGACGUUACCCACAGAAUAAGCACCGGCUAACUCCGUGCCAGCAGCCGCGG
rnacentral:rRNA from 1 species